CCGAGCGUGCACCUCCCACCCCGCCAAUCGACGCGCGCCUCUUUGGAGAGAACGGGUGACGUCAUCCCUACCCCGUGAGGGCGGGGCUGAGGGCGAGGAGGCGGGGCGCUCGUGGGUCCCGCCCUUUUUGCUGCUCACCUUCUCUCCUCACAGCGUCCGCGGUUUCAACGGUCCGGGGCGCUCUGAGGGAAAACCUAACGCGGGGCUCGGCGGCCCCGGGCAGCCAUGAGCAGAUCCCGUUAAGGAUGGUAGUGAGACCUUCCACUGAACGUCCACAUAAGUUGAAAUCUAAAAUCACUGGCAAGGAGUUUCCUCUGGAAGUAAUCCCUCUUAAGCGUCACUCAUGGCCCUCAUAAACGGCUCUCAUGGCAGCCGGCUCUGAAAAUACCUCAUAAAAUACCAACUUUUUUAGCAGCUGUCCUUCCAGUUUUCUGGCAAGAAAGGGGCAUUCUAUGCAAGACGAGACCUCAGUGAGUGUCCCGUGCCCAGGCAGCACCCACUCACCACAGCUGCCCGUGAAUUGCUUCCAUUCUCACACAGCGGUGUAUUUCUGCACAGAAAAACUGCCGUGAUCCCCUCAGCAUCUCAGUUCCAGCAUAGCAGUGUGAAACAUAAAAAUAUCCAACUGCAGAUAGAUCACUGUAAGAAGAAAACGUCAGAGAAGGCGUGAUGUCCCGACUGUUCUUCCUUGCUGCAUCUGUAGGGUGUUACAGACUGCCAUCCUCCGAACUGGAAACAAGCUCCAGAUAUUUGCAGCUGACCUGGGGAAGGAAGAAAUAGUUCCACUUCUCGACCAUGGAUGCACCUAUGCCAUACAUGCCAUGAACCCCGCUGGCUGCAGCAGGAUGGUCCCCAAGACCUUGAAGCAACGCCCUGGCAGCUGCUCCCCACCCAUGUGUGAGUCUGCAGCCAACGCGGGCUUCAGCUGUGGUAUGGGCAGAGCAAAAGGAAGCUGAGCAUUGCAGCAAAGACAUCAGGCAUCUCGUGCUCGAGCAAGAUGAAGACACGUAGAGGAUGAAUGUAAAGCCUUGUGCACAGAAGCUCUCUAAUGGAUGAGUGAAGCACUGAACCACGGAAUCAUUAUGGUUGGAAAAGAGCUCUAAGACCACCAAGUCCAACCCAACCCAUCUCCGCUGACCACAUCCCUUAGUGCCACGUCCCCACAGCUCUCCAGGGGCAGCAAGCCCAGCACCUCCCUGGGCAGCCUCAGCUCACACUUCCCAACUUCAAUAUGGC
rnacentral:lncRNA from 1 species